rnacentral:SRP_RNA from 1 species
GGUCAGGCCUUGCGCGACGAAUGCCCGCCAACCCCGUCAGGCCCGGAAGGGAGCAGCGGUAACGGGACUGUUCGUGCGCCGCAAUUCGUUUGACCGGA